GGAAUUCACACAAACACACGUCACCACAGGCCACAAAAAACAAUCAGUGAUUGUUUUUUGUGGCCUGUGGUGACGUGUGUUUGUGUGGAUUUCC
rnacentral:pre_miRNA from 1 species